GAUGAACGCUGGCGGCGUGCCUAACACAUGCAAGUCGGACGGGAGGAGGAGCCCUCCGGGGUUUUCUCUUCUAGUGGCGGACGGGUGAGUAACGCGUGGGCAACCUGCCCCGCACCGGGGGAUAACAGGCAGAAAUGCCUGCUAAUACCGCAUAAUCCGCGGGGGCCGCAUGGCCUUUGGGGGAAAUAGAGAGAUAGGUGCGGGAUGGGCCCGCGUCUGAUUAGCUGGUUGGCAGGGUAGCGGCCUGCCAAGGCGACGAUCAGUAGCCGGCUUGAGAGAGCGGCCGGCCACAUUGGGACUGAGACACGGCCCAGACUCCUGCGGGAGGCAGCAGUGGGGGAUAUUGCACAACGGGGGGAACCCUGAUGCAGCGACGCCGCGUGGGUGAAGAAGUGCCCCGGCACGUAAAGCCCUAUCGGCAGGGAUGAAAGGGGCCGGAGACGGCCCCGUGACGGUACCUGGCUAAGAAGCCCCGGCUAACUACGUGCCAGCAGCCGCGGUAAUACGUAGGGGGCAAGCGUUAUCCGGAUUUACUGGGUGUAAAGGGAGUGCAGGCGGCAUGCCAAGUCCGAUGUGAAAGCCCGGGGCCCAACCCCGGGACUGCAUUGGAAACUGGGAUGCUGGAGUGCCGGAGAGGUAAGCGGAAUUCCUAGUGUAGCGGUGAAAUGCGUAGAUAUUAGGAGGAACACCAGUGGCGGAGGCGGCUUACUGGACGGCGACUGACGCUGAGGCUCGAAAGCGUGGGGAGCAAACAGGAUUAGAUACCCUGGUAGUCCACGCGGUAAACGAUGAAUACUAGGUGUCGGGGCCCAAACGGGCUCCGGUGCCGCAGCAAACGCAGUAAGUAUUCCACCUGGGGAGUACGUUCGCAAGAAUGAAACUCAAAGGAAUUGACGGGGACCCGCACAAGCGGUGGAGCAUGUGGUUUAAUUCGAAGCGACGCGAAGAACCUUACCAGGCCUUGACAUCCCGCCGGCGGGGGAGGAGAGUCCCCUUUCCUACGGGACGGCGGAGACAGGUGGUGCAUGGUUGUCGUCAGCUCGUGUCGUGAGAUGUUGGGUUAAGUCCCGCAACGAGCGCAACCCUUGUCCUUAGUAGCCAGCGGGAGAGCCGGGCACUCUAGGGAGACUGCCGGGGAUAACCCGGAGGAAGGCGGGGACGACGUCAAAUCAUCAUGCCCCUUAUGGCCUGGGCUACACACGUGCUACAAUGGCGGCGACAGAGGGAGGCGAAGGGGCGACCCGGAGCGGAUCCCGGAAAAGCCGUCCCAGUUCGGAUUGCAGGCUGCAACCCGCCUGCAUGAAGCUGGAAUCGCUAGUAAUCGCGGAUCAGAAUGCCGCGGUGAAUGCGUUCCCGGG
rnacentral:rRNA from 1 species